rnacentral:rRNA from 1 species
GGGGGGAGCGAACGUUGUUCGGAAUUACUGGGCGUAAAGGGCGCGUAGGCGGCCUCAUAAGUGAGAUGUGAAAGCUCCUGGCUCAACCAGGGAAAUGCGUCUCAUACUGUGAGGCUUGAGUGCAGGAGAGGAUGGGGGAAUUCCCGGUGUAGCGGUGAAAUGCAUUGAUAUCGGGAGGAACACCAGUGGCGAAGGCGCCCAUCUGGUCUGCUACUGACGCUGAGGCGCGAAAGCUGGGGGAGCAAACAGGAUUAGAUACCCUGGUAGUCCCAGCUGUAAACGGUGGGCACUAGGUGUGGGGGGCAUCGACCCCUCCCGUGCCGCAGCUAACGCAUUAAGUGCCCCGCCUGGGGAGUACGACCGCAAGGUUG